rnacentral:lncRNA from 1 species
ACCCACGGUCUGCUGCAACCCCUACCACUUCAGCCGCCUCUGUGGGCCAGAGUCUCCACCACCUCCCUACUCUCGGCUGUCUCCUAAUGAUGAGCAAAAGCCACUGGAUCUAUCAGAUUCCACGUUGUCUUACACUGAAACAGAGGCUACAAACUCUCCCAACGUCACGCCCGGAGAUUUCUCAGGUUGGCAGCUUUUGGUGGUGGGGCAGGACAGCAGGAGGGGACGGGGGUGCUGGUCCUGCUCUUGGUUUGUGUCUGGGUGUGAGGAGAGGGACAAAAAGAGCAGUCACUUGAGCUGGUUUUUAAAGAAUCCCGUGCUGUGCUAAGAUGCUGUUGGUGGGAUGGGCAGGGAGCUUUGGGAGGUGGCCACAGGGCCACGUGUGUCCUGUGUGGAGGCCACCUGGAGCCAUCCCAGGCUGUGGGGC